UUUUUGGAGAGUUUGAUCCUGGCUCAGGAUGAACGCUGGCGGCGUGCCUAAUACAUGCAAGUCGAGCGGGAGAAUCAUCCUUCGGGAUGAGGAUCCAGCGGCGAACGGGUGAGUAACACGUGGGCAACCUGCCCGCAAGACCGGGAKAACUCCGGGAAACCGGGGCUAAUACCGGAUAGGCC
rnacentral:ncRNA from 1 species